AUGUUUUACUAAACUUAUUUUUCCCGUUAUUACUUAUGCACGACUUCUCGGGUUUUGACUUGAGCGGUGCAUGCCUCAAAAACGUUAUCUUAUCAAGUGCUAAUCUUCGUUGUGCUAAAUUUCAUUAAAAGUUUUGGGAAAAAUUUUUGACUUGGUAUGUUUUGAUUCACAGGGGCUAGUCUCAAUUCUGCUAGUCUUAUCAAUGCAAAUUUACAAGAUGCUUGCCUGAUAAAGUGUUCUUUCAACAGGGUAGACCUGCAACUUGCACAUCUCCAGGCUGCUGAUCUAACGGGUGCAUAUUUGGAGGGAGCCAAUCUAGAAGUAGCCCAUCUAGAAGUAGCCCAUCUAGAAGGAGCCAAUUUAAAGGUUUAUUAAAUAUUAAAUGUUUAAGUUUGAAGAGUUGAACUUAGUUAUCGUGCGGCUUUUCUGCUGCGAUGUGCAUACAAUACAGUGCUGCUGCUGAGGCGUUCGUGUGGUGCAGUCGCCACUGUUGCGUGCUUCGCUGCUGCUGCGGCUGUUUGAUGAGCUUGAUUAACCGCUAGCAUUAACUUUUUAUCUCUCCUCUUAAUAAAUCAAUAAUCAUAGGGAGCUUGCAAAAGAUUUUGUGGUGGCUGGUACUGCAUCAGAGUCUCUAUAUCGGUAAAGGAACUGGGUCAAUUGGUCAAAUUGGUCGAUGCUUAUUACCCAAUCCUAAAAAGCGCAAGCCGGUUUCGACUUAGGCUCGUAAGAUUUAAACUAAUAAAAUUGGUGAGCCAAGCUCAAGCCAAGAUUUGACUUGUUUAAGCGAUAUUAAAGCGAGCUCAAGCUGAGCUUUUAGCUUAUUUGAGACAAUAUCCAUUUAUCUUCUAGCACUUGAAUUGUAGCUUACAAUUGGAUAUUGUUAUCUUUACAACCAACUUGACCCAUUGAAAAGUUGAACUUAGUUAUUAAGGAGCUCGUUAAGGAAAAUGAUGAAGAAAAAGAAAGGCUAAAUGGAAUUAUUGCCGGGUUGUUGGCUGAAAAAGAAAAAGAUAAGGUGGAUAAAUAUGCUAUGCUCGAUACGAUGUCACAAAUUGAAGCUAUGUUAACAAGUACAAUUUGAAGAUAGGCUACAAACACUUGGUUUUGAAUGUUUAUCGUAUUAGGAUUUUUUAGUUAUUUGAUGUUUUAGCUG
rnacentral:lncRNA from 1 species